CCAGACAUGGCUUUACCUCCGGGAUGCACCCCAGGCUACAAACCGACCAGGAGUAUGACGCUCUCCAGAGACUGUUGUCCUAUUGCCAUAUGUCGCUAGGUAUCACGAAAGGUGGAAUUGGAGCUCAAAAGAAGAACAAAAUCAAAAUGAGCAAAUUAAUGUUUCAUUUUGUGCAAUUAGCCAAAAAUAAGCCCAAAGUCCAUGUAAUUCAGUGUUGUAGUCUCAUAAGAGUAACACGAGAAAUUCCAUGUCAUUAAGAAUACAAAAUAAGCAAAUUGGAAUCCUCAUGCAAAUAAAGCAAAUGUUUUAGGUCA